rnacentral:lncRNA from 1 species
AAGGACUCCAGAGCCAGAUGGAAGAGGCUUCAGUGGCCAAAUAGGGUACAAUUUGGGCUGUAAAAAUCAUUAACAGACUCUAAUUGAUUGAGUAAAAUAUGAAAUCAUGAAUUUGAAUUAACUCAAGAUAGGUCAAAGGCCUAAAUGUCAGACCUAAAAAUAUGAAAUUCUUAGGAGAUAACUGUAAGGAUGGCCUUAUGGCUGAGCCUAAGCAACUCCACUUUAAGAACUCCAGUUUGAAACCUGAAGUCUCAUCAGGCUCAUCAGGUAUGGCCCUCAGGCACAAACAAGUCACUUCCCCUACCCUGGUUAACUCAGAGUGAAGCCUGUGGCAGGCUGUCUUCACCUGAUAAAAGGGAAAGGUGCCUGAUAAAAGAGAAAGUUGAAAAGAUCAGGGUGGGGACCACCAGACCAGAUGUUUUAACCCCAGGGUAAAUGAUGUCACUGAGAAAUCCAUUGGUAGCUAAUAAGGAUUGAAAGAGGGGUCAAAAGCCCCAAAACUUAAUAUAAAUAAUAGAGCAAAUGAACAGACUUUCAACCAGCCGACACUGAUCCACACAAGCCUGAGAGUCUGAUGAGGACCUGGACUGACAUCCCAACCAUUCUCAUCUGCUUGAACCUGUGUUGUUCUCAUCACUCUCUAACUCUAC